rnacentral:sRNA from 1 species
AGCCACUUUGAGCUAUACAGUCGCAAAACAACCAGGCCCAAAUCCAAUACGAUUCCCUACAAUGGUGGAUAGCCCAAGAGGUACAGUGCUAAUAAACUGUUAGUAAAGAAAGUCUUACUUUACCCCAAGUUCCAUAUUUAUUGCCCUGUAUCCUCUAGGGUUCAAGGAUUAUAUCCAUAUUACAGGCUGCAUUUAAUUGAUAUAUGUCCUUAGUUUUCUUCUUGGCUAUAAAAAGUUCAUGGUAUCUUGUCAAAUGUUCAAUUCAAUUUAAUAAAACACAUAGCAACCACAGCAAAACAAGAAGCUCGAACAAUACAGCUUCUACAAAUACAGAGUAAACUGGAAUUUUCUUUGCUGUCAAAGUUACAAAAGCCUUGAAGAAUCGUGAUAAUUGCUUCUCUAUUUUUUUCUUAUUCUUUAUUAGGCCCAGAAUUCUACAUUCAAAAGCAGUACCUGCCUUACUCAGCUUGGGCUUGAUAUCUGCCUCAUCUCAUUUUGUGCAUAUUCAAUUCAAAGUUAUCUUGUGAAUCUGCUGUGUUUUCCUGGAGUUGAGCUCUUACUGCCUCUGAAGAUUUCUGGGAUCCUAUUUAGUGGGAACAGAAUGUCAGUAGGCUGAAAUGAAGCUGAGAAGGAUACAAAAUGGAGGCCAUCUUUGUUAUUUUCUUCCAGCUAUGUGAUCCAAUAAGUUUACCCAUUCUUACACUCUAUUGGUCUCUUAAGAAAUACGUAAAAAUGUGUCAUUCAUAAGAGUUGACCUUGAUGGCACAUUGGGACAUCACAAGAUUAGAUAAUAACCCAUUUUGUGAAAACUAUGUAGAGAAGGGGACAUAUUGUUCAUCAAAAGUAAGAAAGGUAUAAUUACCUCUUCUUUAAUCUCCAUGCAUCAUUCAAGUGUUCUAGAGUAAGAACUCAACUGAGAAAAAGGCCUGGAAAUAAGAACAUAUUAUCACUUAGCAAUUUGCUAGAUGUAUUAGAAUUAGUUGUAUUAGUCACAAAUUGCAUUGAUCAAAUUUUUUCAUCAUAGAACAAAGUACAAUAAUGCAUACAAAAGUCAGUACUGAGUCUGGCCAGUAAAUGUUAAACAAGUUGCUGAUAUUAAAGUUAGAGAAUGCAAGUGGAGAAGGGUUCAUGGAGAAGUAGUAACUAUUCAGUAAGUCUAUGAUAAUGAGGAGUACUAGUUUAGGGAAAACGUGAUUGACACACUAUUUGUAUGCUGCAUAUUUAUUUUGUCUUGAAAAAAAGCACAAAGUUUUGUGGAUAAAGCUUAUUAUUUGGAGCAAUAGUAGCAUACUGGCUUCCCUUUCCACAGACCCUCCCUCAGUGGUAAAUGGAGAAGGCAGGUAUUUGCUGUGCCUACAGACUGUACUACUUGAGCCCUGAAAUUAUAAAUUGGAAAUUUUUAUUGGACCUUCCCAGCUUCCCUCUGAGACACAGAGAGAAAGCUUUAUCCAUAUUGAGUAAGCCAGUCUUCUCUGGGAAAGGGACCUGUGAAAGACACAAACAAAAGCUCAGUGUUUAGCUUUCUUUAAAAUGACAACAUUUUAAACCUAAAGAGACAAAUUUCUGUAUCUCUCCCAUGAUCUCUGUUCUGUUACCCAUUGACCAGAUCUCAAGUUUCGUUGCUCAGUUAUCUUAAAUAUUCAACAAACAUGAAAUUUAUUGUCAUUGUGUCCCAUAACAUUACAGGAUAUAAAAACAUUGCUAGCAAAACUAUUCCUAUUUUCUUCCUAGAAAAAUGAUCAGGACCAACUUUUUAAAAAAAUGUCCAUUGUUAAAAUAUAUAAUUCUUCUGUACUUGUAGAUGUUUCCUCAUGUGUGAACUUGUAAGUAGCUAUAAAAGUAGAAAGCAAAUUUGCAAGACCCGAGGGUGCAGCUCUCUAGGUUGCACCUGACCCAAUAGUUACAAUGAAUGUUGCUCCAGACAGUCCACAGCAGUGUAUAAAGCACACAGAUUGGUCCCAGGGCUGUGGGCUUGCUCUCUAUGCAAUACCAGGCACAGGGAUAACACAUUGUCAUUGCCAAGUGCAAGAAUAACUAAAGGAUAAAAUCCCCAUACAGUUGCUAAAGGACAUGCUGAAAUGGACCAAAGAAUGGCUUCCCUGUAGACAGAGUCAGGCUAGAGGCUAAGAAUCCCUGUUAUCGGACAAUCAGAUAGCCCUUUUAAGAUAGGUGAUGAUGGAUCCCAAGAAUCAAAUAAUUUAAAAACAUGAAAGGGGAAAAUAAACAAUGCAGCUGGUAUGAGAACUGAAUAACACUCAAAAAUAUUCAAACAUUGUCUCUUAGAGUCACAGCACAUCCUGGUUUCUUUUUCUUUCUUGCUUUUUUCUUUUUUUUUUCUAUUGGAACCAGAAUUACAAAGGACCUUAUCAUGAUUGGAAGUAUCCACCUACCCUCCCCCACAAAAGAUCAAAUGAGCACUCUAUCUGCUAUUGUCAACGUUAGUUUGGACAUCUAUGACAAGUUACCAUAAAGUAGCGUUAAACAGUGAACAUUUAUUCUGGAGAUUUGGAAGUCCAAGAAUAAAAUCUGGUGUUCUUGAUGUCUAGUGAGGGUCUGUUGAAGAUAAUCACCUCAUUGUACCUCUCUGCAUGGCAUGAAAUCAGAGAGGAAAAGAAUGUUCUAUUUUGUCAUUUUUAUGAGGACACUAACCACAUUUUUAAAGGUUUCACCCUCAUGAUCUUAUUAUUUCCCAAAGGCAUUGCUUCUGUGUACCAUUAUAUUGAGAAUUAGGUUUUUGUGGGUUUGUGGAAGGCAAAGAUGAUUAGCUCAUCAAAACCAUCCACUCAAUGGUGGAAGCUAGUCCAGUAAGGAGCUGGAAGAGAGUACAGAUGGUCAAAGACAGUGACUAUACAGUGAUUCUUAUACAAUACAGGGGGGAGCAAAGUACCAUGGGAGUUUAAUUUAACAAGAAACAAAUGUGGUUUUAGAACAAAAAGGGUGCAUUGAAUUUGAGGCUGGGUUUUAAUACUGGAAAGGAUUAUAGCACUAUCAUAGCUAAGCACUGUGAUGACUCUAAUGGACACUCAAGCAUAAAUCUUCAUGGCAAAAGUAAGGAAGAUUUGUAGGGACUUCACAUUGCUUUAGGGGUGAGAGCUAUGGGGAUAUACACUAAUAUGGAGGUGGAGCUCAGAAGGAGUGAGAAGGGAAGAACCAAGGAGAGAGUAAGAGUGAGUGAAUGAGAGAGAGAGAGAGAGAGAGAGAGAGAGAGAGAGGUAGAAGGGGGAAAGAGGGAGAGAUGGGUAUGAUAGCCCUUCCUUCCUCCUCAUCCACAGCCCAUGGAUUUCUACUAUUCAAGGAGUAUGCCAACCCAAACAUCCUAACUGUGAUUGGAUUUCCUCUGUGAACUUAAGAAUGAGGUAUGUGUUAGUUGAAUAGGGCAGAAAGAAUCUGUGUGAGCCUGUAGGAUAGAGAGGUCCCAGGUGACCUAAUCACAACUAAUAAUUCUUAAUAAUGAAAAGACAUGGCCCAAAUCAAACACUUUAAAUCCAUUUCUCCUUUCCUACAUUUCUUUUAGUCCCUUGCACGAUUGGAUUCUAGUACCUGCCCUUGCCAAAUUAGCUGAUUUUGUAUCAUCCUGAUCCUUAUGACUUCUUGGAACCUCAAAUUAUUGGUCUUACCAUGUGUAUCUGAUGUGCAUUCUUUUGGGUCCAAGUGAAAUUAUUUUGAGCAUUGACUUUUGUAGAUUUAGAUUUUUCUAAACCUAUUUUAUUUAGGGUUCUUGAAUUCUUCAACAUCCCUUCUAAUCCACCAACUAGAGGUUGGGGAGAAAAGACAGUUAAUAGGAAAAAGGUUUGUGGACCUGUUUAGAAGUAGUUCUUUAGGAUGAUUCCACUCUUUGUUGCCAGGAUACCGGCAGUUCAAUUCAACAGCAAACACCAAACUAAUCAAUAGCAGCUCAGUGCAGCAGAAAUCACAAGGCUCUGCUGAAUCGACAGAGUUGACAGAAGUCGUGAGAAUCAGCUGAAAUACCAUGAGAACUUCUUUGGCGCAUUUUUCUCUAUGAAGUGAAAACCAUCAAAGACCAAUGAAGAAGCAAGACCACAAAGCAUUGUGCAAGAAAGUAUUACACAGCAGUGAAGUAAUGCAUAGUGUCAAAAUGCAAAAGCAACUUCUCACUGUUUAUGGGGUUCCAUUGAUACUCUUUCCACUCUUUCCAAUCAUCACAUAUCCUGUCAAGCAUCUGCUCCAACAAAAUCUCACAUGCCUUCUCAUGUGUCUACUUCAGCAAAACAUCCUCUCACAAGACAUUUUCUGGAAAAACAUUAGAUGAUACAACUGCGUUUCCCAAGAAACCAAACAUUUCUAAUUAAGAUAUUUUAGCACAGUACUUCUCUAAGCAAAUACCAAAAUAGCAUCUUGUUUUGAAAAACAUGGUCAGCUACUUAAGCCGUCCCUUUCUGCCAUGUUUUCUACUGUUUCAUUGAAUUUUGCUGUUCUAAAACUCAGAUGGGAUUUGUGUCCAAAAUAUUCAAAAUCUUUUUUUUUAAGGGCUAUGUCCUUUGUUUUAGUUUCAGGAACCCAGACCAUUUUGAGAAACUCAGAAGUGUGAAUGACUGAAAACCAGGUACUUUAUAUACAAUAAGGCAAAGCUAAGGUUGAUCAUAAAUUCAUCGGGAGCAGGUUCUGGAUUUAGCUGGACCCUACAGUAGCAGUGCAGUUUUUACUGUUGCUACAACA